AGGGGGUUACCCGCUGAACUUUAGCAUUUCUAUAUGCGGAGGAAAAGAAACUAACAAGGAUUCCCCUAGUAACGGCGAGUGAAGCGGGAAAAGCUCAAAUUUAAAAUCUGGCAAUCUUUGGUUGUCCGAAUUGUAAUCUAGAGAAGCGUUUUCCGUGCUGGACUGUGUGCAAGUUUCCUGGAUACGGAACAUCAUAGAGGGUGAGAAUCCCGUCCUUCACACAGACCCCCAGUGCUUUGUGAUGCGCUCUCGACGAGUCGAGUUGUUUGGGAUUGCAGCUCAAAAUGGGAGGUAAAUUCCUUCUAAAGCUAAAUAUUGGCGAGAGACCGAUAGCGAACAAGUACCGUGAGGGAAAGAUGAAAAGCACUUUGGAAAGAGAGUUAAACAGUACGUGAAAUUGUUAAAAGGGAAACGCUUGAAGUCAGUCAUGUUUGCUUGGACUCAACCUAACCUCGGUUUGGUGCAUUUCCUUGCAGACGGGCCAGCGUUCAUGUUGUUUUCCAGAGAAGGAGCGAGAGAAUGUGACUCCCUUGGGAGUGUUAUAGCUCUCACUCGCAUGUGGGGAAUGAUAUGGAGUGGUACAGCACGCUUUGGUGGUGCUUGUGCUGGCAUAAUGGCUUUAAACGACCCGUCUUGAAACACGGACCAAGGAGUCUAACAUGUCUGCGAGUGUUUGGGUGGAAAACCCGAGCGCGCAAUGAAAGUGAUGGCUGGGAACCCCUUUUUGGGAAGCACCGGCGCCCCGAGCUGACCUUCUGUGACGCAUCGGAGGCAGAGCAUAUAUCUUGGGACCCGAAAGAUGGUGAACUAUGCCUGAAUAGGGCGAAGCCAGAGGAAACUCUGGUGGAGGCUCGUAGCGAUUCUGACGUGCAAAUCGAUCGUCAAAUUUGGGUAUAGGGGCGAAAGACUAAUCGAACCAUCNAGGUUAUCUGGUUCCUGCCGAUUUUCCCCC
rnacentral:rRNA from 1 species